UACGAGGGGGGCGAGCGUUGUUCGGAAUUGUUGGGCGUAAAGGGUGCGUAGGCGGUUCCGCAAGUCCUGUGUGAAAUCUUCGGGCUCAACUCGAAGUCUGCACGGGAAACUGCGGGGCUUGAGUGUGGGAGAGGUGAGUGGAAUUCCCGGUGUAGCUGUGAAAUGCGUAGAUAUCGGGAGGAACACCUGUGGCGAAAGCGGCUCACUGGACCAUAACUGACGCUGAUGCACGAAAGCUGGGGGAGCAAACAGG
rnacentral:rRNA from 1 species